rnacentral:lncRNA from 1 species
UCCUCAUCUUCUGGGGCUCUGACACCUUGCUUCAGGUCCAGAGUUUAAGACCAGCCUGGGCAACAAAGCAAGACCCCUUCUCUAAAAAAUGAAAUAAAAUAAGGCCAGGCGUGGUGGCUCACACCUGUAAUCCCAGCACUUUGGGAGGCCGAGGUGGGUGGAUCAAGAGGUCAGGAGUUCGAGACCAGCCUGACCAAUAUAGUGAAACCCCGUCUCUACUAAAAAUACAAAAAUUAGCCGGGUACAGGGUGGCGUGCGCCUGUAAUCCCAGCUACUCAGGAAGCUGAGGCAGGAGAAUGGCGUGAACCUGGGAGGCAGAGGUUGCAGUGAGCCAAGUCGCGCCACUGCACUCCAGCCUGGGUGACAGAAUGAGACUCCAUCUCAAAA